rnacentral:rRNA from 1 species
UACGAAGGGGGCGAGCGUUGUUCGGAUUUACUGGGCGUAAAGGGCGCGCAGGCGGCGCAUUUUGUCAGGCGUGAAAGCCCCGGGCUUAACCUGGGAACUGCGUUUGAUACGGAUGGGCUAGAGUUCGGGAGAGGAGAGUGGAACUGCGAGUGUAGAGGUGAAAUUCGUAGAUAUUCGCAAGAACACCAGUGGCGAAGGCGGCUCACUGGCCCGGUACUGACGCUGAGGCACGAAAGCGUGGGGAGCAAACAGG